GUGGGGUAACGGCUCACCUAGGCGACGAUCCCUAGCUGGUCUGAGAGGAUGACCAGCCACACUGGAACUGAGACACGGUCCAGACUCCUACGGGAGGCAGCAGUGGGGAAUAUUGCACAAUGGGCGCAAGCCUGAUGCAGCCAUGCCGCGUGUAUGAAGAAGGCCUUCGGGUUGUAAAGUACUUUCAGCGGGGAGGAAGGGAGUAAAGUUAAUACCUUUGCUCAUUGACGUUACCCGCAGAAGAAGCACCGGCUAACUCCGUGCCAGCAGCCGCGGUAAUACGGAGGGUGCAAGCGUUAAUCGGAAUUACUGGGCGUAAAGCGCACGCAGGCGGUUUGUUAAGUCAGAUGUGAAAUCCCCGGGCUCAACCUGGGAACUGCAUCUGAUACUGGCAAGCUUGAGUCUCGUAGAGGGGGGUAGAAUUCCAGGUGUAGCGGUGAAAUGCGUAGAGA
rnacentral:rRNA from 1 species